GUGGAGUAAAUUAUUUAAAUUACGUUUACAAGUCUUCUUCCAUGUCAGUCGGGAAUUUCAUUUUCCCGUCUACAGCCUCAAAUCCAAAGUUCCAAGUCAAGUUGUGAGAUAUUAUUUUACACAUCACACCGAGACAAAUCAUCUUAAACCAUCCAUCACAGGCACUGACUGAAAACUCACUGCUGAUCUCCUUUACUUCCUGAAUUUAUUUCUUCUGCUCAGUUCAGUUCAAUUUGGAAAACAAUUUGUCGUCGGAGGAGUCCAUAUUUAUAGAUCCGUGUUCAUUAAAAAACUAAAUGAAAUAUUGAACGGGGGGCAAAAGAGACGGAUGCUGUGGGAAUAUUGCUCUCUGUCUCUGUAGGGGGCAGCGUCGCACAGUUUUCCGGCUGCAGCCCAGAGUGUGACUGCACAGAUUAAUCCCUGUGAUGGAAAAAUUCAUUGGGUACAUAAACGUAGCAGCAUCCCGUUUUACUAUAUCUGUCUUGCUUGGACAUAAACGUCAAAUGCUGACACACACACACAAAAAAAACAAAACAAAAAGAAAACACUUUGACUGAUUUGAUUUCAGGCUCUCAGACAGUUCAGAGCUUUGAUCUAAAUGUACCAGGAACGAAAGGACGGCCGAUGGAGGCAGUCGAGAGCUCCAGGAAAGGAAAAAACAAGCCAGUGCUUUGAAGACAGAGGCCUGCCUGUGAAGAAGUGGAGAGCAGCACUCCAAGCUGAAAGAGAGAGAGGAAGGAGGACGAGACACAGACUAAAAGCAAGAGAUCAGAGGAAAAAAUGGCGACGGAGAGAGUCGAAUUGGCAGAAGCGCUGUGCGAUGGAUAGGAGGAACGCUGACGGGAAGAGCUUCGACGAUCCACUGCAGCGUGGCGAAAGGGAGCGCGGUCGACUCUCCGUUGAAAGACGGAGACGGAUGUUACCCGGCGGUUCGUCACGUCCCCCUGUGGGGUCCGGAGGGGCCCGGCGGUGUCUCCCGCCUGCUGUCAGGCCUCUCGUUCCGUUGCCCUCUGCUCUUUUUCAACAUCUGGAGCCUGUUUAGUAUCACAAACACUGGAGCUCCAGCCAUGACAAGUCUGCUGAGAAUGACUGUUUCGGAACCUUUUUAGAGAGUGAUAGGAUUUAAGUUGAACACCGUUUAUUCCCCUCCCCCUCCGUUGCCCCUAUUCAUUACAUUCAUUGCAGCAAUCAUUCCUAAUCUAGUAGCUCUAAAUCACCAGGCCUCCUUGUGCUAACCUCAAACUGCUAAAUCAUGUUUGAGUAAAAACUUUGGUAUUUUUACUGGAAGAAAAUUUGUUGUUUUUAAUGGACGAGCCUUCCAGGAAGGCAUGCAUCACCGUGGGGCGCCUCCGUGAUCUCAAUUAACAACGGCCGCUGUAGUGCUUGCAGAUGCUGCACCGCUCGGAUUUUAACUACCUCAACGCUGUUCCUUUGCUUGUCAACACGAGUGAGUCACGUUUUUUUACGCUGAGGAUUUGUUUUUUGUUUUUUUACAUAAGCUGCAAACCACCACCAAUUUGUAGGUAGGCAUGUGUUCGCGCUCAGCCCGCCCCCUGCGGCCCGAGGAUUAGAGGCGAGCAAGCGGCUCUCUGCGAAAGCGUUUAACGCUCGGAUUUCCACGCCGCUCACUCGGAAGGUGAGCACGCCAUUCAUGUUGAGUGGUCAGCGACGUGACCUCCGCCCCCUCUCGCCCCCCCAGAUGCCCGCUCGUGGGAACCGAUCCUUCAAUUCGCCGCGUUGGUUCAGGGUCGCAAAGGUCUCCUCUCUGGUCAGAGCAGAGAUGCUACAUAAAUAAGGUUUUGGAGGUGGGGGAGUCCCAUUUGUAGCUUUUAGAGUCGAAGGUGCUGACAGCAUAUAUGCAUAUAUGUACACAAGUCAAACGUGCUGCUAAGUUAAGCUUCCAGUUGUGAUACUUUGUUUUUUAUUGAAAAAACUUUGGGCACAAAGCCAACAAAGUAUCAGUGGGGCGCAUUUUCCGCACGCAGCUGCGCUACAGUGCUCUCGUGUGUUUUGUGUGUGUGUGUGUGUGUGUACAGUCAGGAGGGGGUCGGUGUGGGAGAGGAGGAGGGAGUUCCUGGGCACCAGGCCUGUGACAGUAAAACAUUUCAGAGGCCGUCCGUCAACGGCCUAAUGGCUUCAGCAGACGGGGUCUGGAUUCUGGCUUUUCCCCACCGCUGACACCAGCGGCCAUAAAACACUGCUUGUUUGGAAUGCAAAACAUGGAUCCAAAGGAUGUGAGCAGGAACGCCGGCGGCUUACAAAAUAAAAGUCCUUCGAAGUUUUUCUUUUUUUAAAAGAAAGACGUCAGAGGAUGAGGGGUUUCGGUGUGGAGGUAGACGGAGGAAGGAAGGUGUCGGUGUUUACAGGAGGCCGUACCGACAGACCUUUAACACCCAGAGCCAAAAGGACGGGAGAGUUUAAUUAGUCUGGAAAACAAAACUACAACAACAAAAAUCACUAUUUCUUCUUUUAAUCUGAAAAAGUAAGACUAAAACAAGUGUCAGGAACUGCAUGCAUGCAUUUGAUGCUUUUAAAAUGAGUUAUUGAAGAUUAUAAGCAGUUAAAGCCAUAUGUGCAGCAGAUAACGCUGCUGGCAUCUUAGUGUAAAUCCCGAUUAACUGUUCCCUGGAUGAGCCUAAAAUAACUGGGGUUUCAGAAACAUCACAGUGGUGUCAGCAAAUGCUGUUUUAUAAACAUGUAAACCGCAUUUUUAACAAAAUUUGAUUAGAUUUUUAAUUUAUUAAGGAGAAAAUGUGGCUACAUGUCAGAAGAAUAUUUAAGAAUAUUGAGAAAAAUGGGAAGCUAUGAUGAUUACCUUGUAUUAAUCACAUAGUGAGUGGUUGCUGGAGGACUCAGCUGCAGAUGUGAUGGUGGAGGAGAUGAAAAGCAACAGCCCUAAUCCUAACCCAACAGAAGAAACGAAAAUAGUGCAAUGAGAAGUAAGUAAAGAGGAGAGAAGACUGAAAAAGAGAUUGGGUGAGUUUAGUCAGGGGGAGUGCUGAACAGCAGAAGGCCAGCAAAUGAAGGAAGGUGAAUAAAAAAUAUCUAGAAACCAAAAAGGGAAAAAGUCAAAAUCAGCAAAAAAUCCUAAACCAAAACGCUUAGAGAACAGAAACACGACAAUUAAUGGAGGAACUGACAUGUAAGGAGCGAACCUGUAUGGCAAGACCACAAUGACAAUAAUGAACAACUCUUGAGAAAUCAGAAAACAAACACAAAAAGAAAAAUCAAAACACAAACGCCACAUAAGAAUGUCACACGAGAAUCUGGAACCAUCGCCUUAGAGGGAACAAGUGGGUCCAUAGAAAGACAUACGAUGUUUUAGGGAAUAAAGAAAGUUCACAUGGGGAAGGGAAAAAACAAUCAAAAGUAGGACACAAACUGUGAUGUCUGAAAAUCCCUCAAGGCUUCUAAAACAAACCAUGUCCAAACCCCUAGCAUGUUUCCUGGUGUUGCCCCACCUCGUUCAUUCAGCGUGAAGGUUGGGUUGCAGUGAUGACCCCCUGCCUGGAGCUGCCAGACAGCAGACUGCUUAUCUAACAAGUGCUGCCAGCAAGUUACCAAUCUAAUAACAAUAAUCAAAUGAAUCAGUAGUUCUUCUAGCUGAGUUUAUGACUCACUGCCUAAAGACGGGUUCUGUUAAUGAAUGGCUUUAAUCUCAGUCUGAUAGGAGACUUUUUUCUUAUGUCUCUGUGCCGCUGAGGUCAUUGUCAUUUGUUGCUUGUUCACAAGCCACUCUCGUAGGUGUCUUUGCCAUGGAAACAAAGAUGCGAGGGUGAUCAGACGUGUGAGCAGAUCCAUCUGGAAUGAACUCGAUGCUUAUGGGGCUGUUAGCAGAGAGCUGCACUGAGUUAUGUUUGGUGACCCGCUGACGGCGGAUCUUUAACUUUCUAAUGACAGUUUUGUUGUACUUUGCUGGAUGUCUAACACUGAGCCUCUUCAGCCUCUGUUUUAUUCCAUUGUUACAGAACAAUAACCUAAAUCACCACCUGUUAGAGCUGCCUUCGAGUGGAACUAAGUUCGACAUUGAUCGACAUAUUUGAUGUGUAUUUUCUUGACGUUUUUGACAAAACUUAAUGUUUAUUGCUUGCUUCAUAAUUGCUAACUGUAUGUUUUGAUGACAGAAAGCACUUUGACUUACCUUGUUUCUGAAAUAUGCUACAAAUAAACCUGAUUUGACUUUA